AGAGUUUGAUCCUGGCUCAGAUUGAACGCUGGCGGCAUGCUUUACACAUGCAAGUCGAACGGUAACAGGCCGCAAGGUGCUGACGAGUGGCGAACGGGUGAGUAAUGCAUCGGAACGUGCCCAGUCGUGGGGGAUAACGCAGCGAAAGCUGUGCUAAUACCGCAUACGAUCUAUGGAUGAAAGCGGGGGACCGUAAGGCCUCGCGCGAUUGGAGCGGCCGAUGUCAGAUUAGGUAGUUGGUGGGGUAAAGGCCUACCAAGCCGACGAUCUGUAGCUGGUCUGAGAGGACGACCAGCCACACUGGGACUGAGACACGGCCCAGACUCCUACGGGAGGCAGCAGUGGGGAAUUUUGGACAAUGGGCGCAAGCCUGAUCCAGCAAUGCCGCGUGCAGGAAGAAGGCCUUCGGGUUGUAAACUGCUUUUGUACGGAACGAAACGGCUCUGGUUAAUACCCGGAGCUAAUGACGGUACCGUAAGAAUAAGCACCGGCUAACUACGUGCCAGCCGCCGCGGU
rnacentral:rRNA from 1 species